rnacentral:lncRNA from 1 species
CACAGCCUACUGAUGGUUACCAUUACUCAUCACACAGCCUACCUACUGAUGGUUACCAUUACUCAUCACACAGCCUACUGAUGGUUACCAUUACUCACACACAGCCUACUGAUGGUUACCAUUACUCAUCACACAGCCUACCUACUGAUGGUUACCAUUACUCAUCACACAGCCUACCUACUGAUGGUUACCAUUACUCAUCACACAGCCUACUGAUGGUUACCAUUACUCAUCACACAGCCUACUGAUGGUUACCAUUACUCAUCACACAGCCUACUGAUGGUUACCAUUACUCAUCACACAGCCUACUGAUGGUUACCAUUACUCAUCACACAGCCUACUGAUGGUUACCAUUACUCAGGACACAGCCUACUGAUGGUUACCAUUACUCAUCACACAGCCUACUGAUGGUUACCAUUACUCAGGACACAGCCUACUGAUGGUUACCGUUACUCAGGACACAGCCUACUGAUGGUUACCAUUACUCAUCACACAGCCUACUGAUGGUUACUAGUACUCAUCAUAUAGCCUACUGAUGGUUACCAUUACUCAUCAUAUAGCCUACUG